CAGCAGCCGCGGGAAUACGAAGGGGGCUAGCGUUGCUCGGAAUGACUGGGCGUAAAGGGCGCGUAGGCGGCGAUCAAAGUCAGGCGUGAAAUUCCUGGGCUCAACCUGGGGGCUGCGUUUGAUACUUGAUUGCUAGAGUGGGGAAGAGGGUCGUGGAAUUCCCAGUGUAGAGGUGAAAUUCGUAGAUAUUGGGAAGAACACCGGUGGCGAAGGCGGCGACCUGGUCCUUGACUGACGCUGAGGCGCGAAAGCGUGGGGAGCAAACAGGAUUAGAUACCCGAGUAGUCCCUGUCUCUUAACA
rnacentral:rRNA from 1 species